rnacentral:rRNA from 1 species
AUUGAACGCUGGCGGCAGGCCUAACACAUGCAAGUCGAGCGGUAACAGAUCUAGCUUGCUAGAUGCUGACGAGCGGCGGACGGGUGAGUAACGCGUAGGAAUCUACCCAGUAGCGGGGGAUAAGCCAGAGAAAUUUGGUCUAAUACCGCAUACGCCCUUCGGGGGAAAGUAGGGGAUCUUCGGACCUUACACUAUUGGAUGAGCCUGCGUGAGAUUAGCUAGUUGGUGAGGUAAUGGCUCACCAAGGCGACGAUCUCUAGCUGGUCUGAGAGGAUGAUCAGCCACACUGGAACUGAGACACGGUCCAG